CCAAAUCCUACACACUGUACCUUUAAGUGACAUUUUCAAUGCAAGACUUCAACAUCUCUCAGUCUGUCAGAAGUGGCGGUUUGGUGUCAGUUAGUCGUCUGUCUUUGUGAGCAGACAAAGCACCGCAGCAGGAGAGACGUAAUGACACGUGCAAGACAGCUGAGAAUGAGACUUUCAACACAGAUUGGAACCCAUGGGGGGACAGAGAGGAACAAUAAAUGCCCCUGCAGACUCCAGCUUGGAGCUCCCAGCUGUCCAACAUCACCCUCUCUACUUCCAGUUUCAACCAAUCAACA